rnacentral:rRNA from 1 species
UACGGAGGGUGCAAACGUUGCUCGGAAUUAUUGGGCGUAAAGCGCACGUAGGCGGUCCAUUAAGUCGGGUGUGAAAGCCCUGGGCUCGACCCAGGAAGUGCACUCGAAACUGACGGGCUUGAAUAUGGAAGAGGGUCGCGGAGUUCCCGGUGUAGAGGUGAAAUUCGUAGAUAUCGGGAGGAACACCAGUGGCGAAGGCGGCGACCUGGGCCAAUAUUGACGCUGAGGUGCGAAAGCGUGGGGAGCAAACAGG